UGAACGCUGGCGGCGUGCCUCCUACAUGCAAGUCGAGCGAACAGACGCGGAGCUUGCUCCUCUGACGUUAGCGGCGGACGGGUGAGUAACACGUGGAUAACCUACCUAUAAGACUGGGAUAACUUCGGGAAACCGGAGCUAAUACCGGAUAAUAUAUUGAACCGCAUGGUUCAAUAGUGAAAGACGGUUUUGCUGUCACUUAUAGAUGGAUCCGCGCCGCAUUAGCUAGUUGGUAAGGUAACGGCUUACCAAGGCGACGAUGCGUAGCCGACCUGAGAGGGUGAUCGGCCACACUGGAACUGAGACACGGUCCAGACUCCUACGGGAGGCAGCAGUAGGGAAUCUUCCGCAAUGGGCGAAAGCCUGACGGAGCAACGCCGCGUGAGUGAUGAAGGUCUUCGGAUCGUAAAACUCUGUUAUUAGGGAAGAACAAAUGUGUAAGUAACUAUGCACGUCUUGACGGUACCUAAUCAGAAAGCCACGGCUAACUACGUG
rnacentral:rRNA from 1 species